rnacentral:rRNA from 1 species
CGAACGGUAGCAGGAGGAAGCUUGCUUUCUUGCUGACGAGUGGCGGACGGGUGAGUAAUGCUUGGGAAUCUGGCUUAUGGAGGGGGAUAACGACGGGAAACUGUCGCUAAUACCGCGUAUUAUCGGAAGAUGAAAGUGCGGGACUGUAAGGCCGCAUGCCAUAGGAUGAGCCCAAGUGGGAUUAGGUAGUUGGUGGGGUAAAGGCCUACCAAGCCUGCGAUCUCUAGCUGGUCUGAGAGGAUGACCAGCCACACUGGAACUGAGACACGGUCCAGACUCCUACGGGAGGCAGCAGUGGGGAAUAUUGCGCAAUGGGGGCAACCUGACGCAGCAUGCCGCGCGAAUGAAGAAGGCCUUCGGGUUGUAAAGUUCUUUCGGUAUUGAGGAAGGUUGAUGUGUUAAUAGUACAUCAAAUUGACGUUAAAUACAGAAGAAGCACCGGCUAACUCCGUGCCAGCAGCCGCGGUAAUACGGAGGGUGCGAGCGUUAAUCGGAAUAACUGGGCGUAAAGGGCACGCAGGCGGUUAUUUAAGUGAGGUGUGAAAGCCCUGGGCUUAACCUGGGAAUUGCAUUUCAGACUGGGUAACUAGAGUACUUUAGGGAGGGGUAGAAUUCCACGUGUAGCGGUGAAAUGCGUAGAGAUGUGGAGGAAUACCGAAGGCGAAGGCAGCCCCUUGGGAAUGUACUGACGCUCAUGUGCGAAAGCGUGGGGAGCAAACAGGAUUAGAUACCCUGGUAGUCCACGCUGUAAACGCUGUCGAUUUGGGGGUUGGGGUUUAACUCUGGCGCCCGUAGCUAA